rnacentral:rRNA from 1 species
AUUCCAGCUCCAAUAGCGUAUAUUAAAGUUGUUGCAGUUAAAAAGCUCGUAGUUGGAUUUCUGGUAGGAGCGACCGUGCCGAACUUGAUUGUUCGAGUAUUGUGUUGUCUUCAGCCAUCCUCGUGGAGAACUUUUCUAACAUUAACUUGUUGGGAUUGGGACCCGCGUCGUUUACUGUGAAAAAAUUAGAGUGUUUAAAGCAGGCAUUAGCUUGAAUACAUUAGCAUGGAAUAAUAAGAUAGGACUUUGGUACUAUUUUGUUGGUUUGCAUACCAAAUUAAUGAUCAACAGGGACAGUUUGAGGAUAUUCGUAUGAACAUGUCAGAGGUGAAAUUCUUGGAUUUUGAUCAGACGAACUACUGCGAAAGCAUUUAUCAAGGAUGUUUUCAUCA